GAGUUGGGGCUAGGGUAAGGUUUAAGGUUUUGGCGUUAGGGUUUAAAUCACUGUCCAAAACCUUUGUAGGAACUGUUUUCCAACCUUUUGGAGUUAGUUAGACCAAAUAAAAAUGAAAAAUGAAAAAAAAAUAUUUGGGGUGUUCGGGCUUCCUGAAGGUAAUACCCGGGUAUUAAGAUUUGGGGCUAGGGUAAGGUUUAAGGUUUUGGCGUUAGGGUUUAAAUCACUGUCCAAAACGUUUGUAGGAACUCUUUUCCAACCUUUUGGAGUUAGUUAGACCAAAAAGAAAUGAAAAAUGAAAAAAAAAUAUUUGUGGUGUUCGGGCUUCCUGAAGAUAAUACAUGGGUAUUAGGUUUUGGGGCUAGGGAAAGGUUUAAGGUUUUUGGCGUUAGGGUUAAAAUCACUGUCCAAAACCUUUGUAGGAACUCUUUUCCAACCAUUUGGAGUUAGUUAGACCAAAUAAAAAUGAAAAAUGAAAAAAAAAUAUUUGGCUUGUUUUGGCUUCCUGAAGAUAAUGCACGGGUAUUAGGUUUUGGGGCUAGGGUAAGGUUUAAGGUUUUUGGCGUUAGGGUUUAAAUCACUGUCCAAAACCUUUGUAGGAACUAUUUUCCAAGCUUUGGGAGUUAGUUAGACCAAAAAGAAAUGAAAAAUGAAAAAAAAAUAUUUGGGGUUUUCGGGAUUCCUGAAGGUAAUACCCGGGUAUUAGGUUUUGGGGCUAGGGGAAGGUUUAAGGUUUUUGGCGUUAGGGUUAAAAUGACUGUCCAAAACCUAUUUAGGAACAUGUUUCAGACCUUUUGGAGUUGGUUACACCAAAUAAAAAUAAAAAAUAAAAAAAAUAUAUUUGGGGUGUUCGGGCCUCCUGAAGGUAAUACCCGGGUAUAAGUUUUGGGGCUAUGGUAAGGUUUAAGGUUUUGGCGUUAGGGUUUAAAUCACUGUCCAAAACCUUUGUAGGAACUCUUUUCCAACCUUUUGGAGUUAGUUACACCAAAUAAAAAUGAAAAAUGAAAAAAAAUAUAUUUGGGGUGUUUGGGCUUCCUGAAGGUAAUACCCGGGUAUUAAGAUUUGGGGCUAGGGUAAGGUUAAAGGUUUUGGCGUUAGGGUUUAAAUCACUGUCCAAAACAUUUGUAGGAACUCUUUUCCAACCUUUUGGAGUUAGUUAGACCAAAAAAUAAUGAAAAAUGAAAAAAAAAUAUUUGGGGUUUUCGGGAUUCCUGAAGGUAAUACCCGGGUAUUA